GAUGAACGCUGGCGGCGUGSUUAACACAUGCAAGUCGAGCGAAGCMCUAAAGCGGAUUUUUUYKGAUUGAAGGUUUAGUGACUGAGCGGCGGACGGGKGAGUAACGCGUGGGUAACCUSCCUCAUACAGGGGGAUAACAGUUGGAAACGGYUGUUAAUMCCGCAUAAGCGCACAGUACCGCAUGGUACGGUGUGAAAAACUCCGGUGGUAUGAGAUGGACCCGCGUCUGAUUAGGUAGUUGGUGGGGUAACGGCCUACCAAGCCGACGAUCAGUAGCCGACCUGAGAGGGUGACCGGCCACAUUGGGACUGAGACACGGCCCAAACUCCUACGGGAGGCAGCAGUGGGGAAUAUUGCACAAUGGGGGAAACCCUGAUGCAGCGACGCCGCGUGAGCGAAGAAGUAUUUCGGUAUGUAAAGCUCUAUCAGCAGGGAAGAAAAUGACGGUACCUKAYUAAGAGSCCCC
rnacentral:rRNA from 1 species